rnacentral:piRNA from 1 species
UCUUCUCACAAUAUGCUUGCUAAUUACAA